UACAGAGGAGCCAAGCGUUGUCCGGAUUGACUGGGCGUAAAGCGCACGCAGGCGGACGCGCGCGUGGGGUGUGAAAUCUGGCCGCUUAACGGCCAGGCGCCAUCCCAUACGGCGCAUCUGGAGCAAUGCAGAGGUCGGUGGAAUUGCCGGUGUAGUGGUGAAAUGCGUAGAGAUCGGCAGGAACACCCAGGGGGAAACCAGCCGACUGGGCAUUUGCUGACGCUGAGGUGCGAGAGCGUGGGGAGCGAACCGG
rnacentral:rRNA from 1 species